CUACGUAGCUCAGAGUUUGAUCCUGGCUCAGAGUGAACGCUGGCGGUAGGCCUAACACAUGCAAGUCGAACGGCAGCACAGUAAGAGCUUGCUCUUAUGGGUGGCGAGUGGCGGACGGGUGAGGAAUACAUCGGAAUCUACCUUUUCGUGGGGGAUAACGUAGGGAAACUUACGCUAAUACCGCAUACGACCUUCGGGUGAAAGCAGGGGACCUUCGGGCCUUGCGCGGAUAGAUGAGCCGAUGUCGGAUUAGCUAGUUGGUGGGAUAAAAGCUUACCAAGCCGACGAUCUGUAGCUGGUCUGAGAGGACGACCAGCCACACUGGGACUGAGACACGGCCCAG
rnacentral:rRNA from 1 species